rnacentral:misc_RNA from 1 species
CAUUUCAAACCUCAAGCCCUGCUUGGUGUUGGGUUUCUACGGCUCCUGUAGGCUCCAAAAACCAGUGGCGGGCUCGCUAUAAGUCCGAGCGCAGUACAUGUAUCUCGCUUGGGAAGUGUAGCGGGCUCCAGCCGCAACCCCCCCCAAACUUACACCACAAGGUUGACCUCGGAUCAGGUAGGAAUACCCGCUGAACUUAA